ACUCCUACGGGAGGCAGCAGUGGGGAAUAUUGCACAAUGGGGGAAACCCUGAUGCAGCCAUGCCGCGUGUGUGAAGAAGGCCUUCGGGUUGUAAAGCACUUUCAGUAGGGAGGAAGGUAGUGUAGUUAACACCUGCACUAUUUGACGUUACCUACAGAAGAAGCACCGGCUAACUCCGUGCCAGCAGCCGCGGUAAUACGGAGGGUGCGAGCGUUAAUCGGAAUUACUGGGCGUAAAGCGCAUGCAGGCGGCCUGUUAAGUCAGAUGUGAAAGCCCGGGGCUUAACCUCGGAAUUGCAUUUGAAACUGGCAGGCUAGAGUCUUGUAGAGGGGGGUAGAAUUUCAGGUGUAGCGGUGAAAUGCGUAGAGAUCUGAAGGAUACCAGUGGCGAAGGCGGCCCCCUGGACAAAGACUGACGCUCAGAUGCGAAAGCGUGGGGAGCAAACAGGAUUAGAUACCCUGGUAGGAUAGCG
rnacentral:rRNA from 1 species